rnacentral:rRNA from 1 species
GACGAACGCUGGCGGCGUGCCUAAUACAUGCAAGUAGAACGCUGAAGAGAGGAGCUUGCUCUUCUUGGAUGAGUUGCGAACGGGUGAGUAACGCGUAGGUAACCUGCCUUGUAGCGGGGGAUAACUAUUGGAAACGAUAGCUAAUACCGCAUAACAAUGGAUGACACAUGUCAUUUAUUUGAAAGGGGCAAUUGCUCCACUACAAGAUGGACCUGCGUUGUAUUAGCUAGUAGGUGAGGUAAUGGCUCACCUAGGCGACGUUACAUAGCCGACCUGAGAGGGUGAUCGGCCACACUGGGACUGGGACACGGCCCAGACUGCUACGGGAGGCAGCAGUAGGGAAUCUUCGGCAAUGGGGGCAACCCUGACCGAGCAACGCCGCGUGAGUGAAGAAGGUUUUCGGGUCGGAAAGCUCUGUUGUAAGUCAAGAACGGGUGUGAGAGUGGAAAGUUCACACUGUGACGGUAGCUUACCAGAAAGGGACGGCUAACUACGUG